rnacentral:misc_RNA from 1 species
CAGUGGUCGUUACGCCCAAACCAUGUGAACACAUACCUCUCGUUGCCUCGGCGGGCGCUGUGGCGCUGGGCCUCGUGCCUAGACCGCAGUGUCCAGCCCGCCGGUGGCCCCCCAGACUCAGUCGCCUAGCUGUACUCUCGAGUCAUAUCAAAUAAGUCA